UGCGAUGAGUCGAGGAGAUCGCGCAACUACGGUUGUAUUCACAAGAUGUGAUUAAGCGAUAUUUUCGAAGGGGACACAUUAUGCGGACGUAAUUCGCGUGUCUGAUAUGUUGGUGAUGUGAACAC
rfam:Lactobacillus kunkeei strain LAko contig002, whole genome shotgun sequence.